UUGAGAGCCAAGUGCAGUCAUGCAGAGGUCUAGCAACUGGCAAAGAAUUAUCAAUUCUUCAUUUGGACAGACUCUCCGAGCUUCUCCAGUCCUUGUCAGACCAAGUUUAUUUUGGAAGUUCUGCUCCAACUCCAGAAAGUGCUGUGGUCAAUGUCACCAACCCUCCACACCUGGGUAAAGCCAGUGACGGGGUCUCCCUCACAGCCAGGCUCUCCUGAUCCUUCUCCCCCGUCUUCUCAAGGAAGGCGUGGCCCCAAGGCUUGGUGUUCAGCUCUCUUUGGUCUUGAACUAGCAUCUCUGAACCCUGACCGUGCAGUGCAGCUGUACCUGCUGGCUCCCAGUAUAAGAGAGGCACUAGGGCUGUGCCACAGCUGUUGAAGAGAAGAGGGCUGAAAUCUCUGGCGGUGAUCGAGACUUUGUUUUUGCUCGCAAUUCCAUCUGCUGUGAUCUCUGGACUUAAUCAGCCAACCAGUCCUCCUGAUGACGUGAUGAUGGUGAUGAUGAUGAUGAUUUUUUUUUUUUUAAGACAGGUUUC